AACGAACGCUGGCGGCGUGCUUAACACAUGCAAGUCGAGCGGAAAGGCCACUUCGGUGGUACUCGAGCGGCGAACGGGUGAGUAACACGUGAGUAAUCUGCCCUUCACUCUGGGAUAGCCACCGGAAACGGUGAUUAAUACCGGAUACGACCAAUCCCUGCAUGGGGUGUUGGUGGAAACUUUUUUGGGUGGGGGAUGUGCUCGCGGCCUAUCAGCUUGUUGGUGGGUAAUGGCCUACCAAGGCUUCGACGGGUAGCCGGCCUGAGAGGGUGACCGGCCACACUGGGACUGCGACACGGCCCAGACUCCUACGGGAGGCAGCAGUGGGGAAUAUUGGACAAUGGGCGGAAGCCUGAUCCAGCAACGCCGCGUGAGGGAUGACGGCCUUCGGGUUGUAAACCUCUUUCAGCACCGACGAAGCGCAAGUGACGGUAGGUGCAGAAGAAGGACCGGCCAACUACGUGCCAGCAGCCGCGGUAAAAC
rnacentral:rRNA from 1 species